UUGCAAAAGUCCAGCGAAGCACUGGUCACCUGGUUCAGGAGUUCAACCCCAUUUUUAACUAUUGACGUUAACAUGCAGAAACAGAAUCAGGCCCCAGAAAAAGAUAAUAUACCUGCUAAGGAAGUAGUAUGUAAUCAAUAGAGGAAAGUAAUCAAAUAACAACUAUGAACUCUGGACAAAACACAGUAAAGUAUCUGAAAGCACUCGAGAAUUAACAUCAACAGAUUCUAGAGGGAAGUUGACACUUGGGAGAAACAAAAGGCACUGAAUGUGUUUCUUAUUUUAAUUCCUUCUCCUCCUGCUUCUCUCCUCUUCCCAACACCCUCCUUCUCCCUCUCUUCCUCCUCUGCAUAUUCCUCUUCCUCGUUCUUCUCCUCCUCUUCUUCCCCUUCUUCUUCUAAUUAAUAACAGUUUUUAUACUUUGGGCAAGUGGCAGGCAGAGCCAGGCAGGUCAGGUGAAGGUCUAACACAAAACCCACAGGUUUUCAGGCCUAAAAACCAGAGGACAGAGUUGGGGAAAAUACCAUUUCUGGAAAGUCAGGUAGGGAUUGGGGGGAUCCCAGAAAGAAGAGAGCCAGAGAAGAGGAGAUGCAAAUUCUUUGUUUAAACUUUUUUUCCCCAGAUCUCUGACUGACACAUGAACAAUGCAUGCUUAGGGCAGACUUCAAGACUAGAAAAUAAAACGACUGAACUGAGCUUUAAAUUGACAUCUGAAAGAGAGCCUUUGCAGGUGGACUCUAACAAAUGACAAAGCCUGCACAAACAAAACAAACUACUAACUUUCUUUUAGAGAAACAUAAAUCCAGAGCCUCUGCAAUAUAACUUGCAUAAUGUAUGGGAAACAAUCCAAAACCACUUGACAAAAGAAGAUAUGAGAAAAUGUAAAUGGAGAUUGAUGCCAACGUGAUUGAGCCAGAUACUGGAAGUAGCUGACAAGCAUUUUAAAGCAGCUCCACAAACUGCGUUUAAGAAAGUAAAAGGAAAUAUGCUCAUAGUGAAUUAAAAGAGAAAUAAAAAUUAUAGGCAAAAAAGGAAGUUCUAGAAUUUAAAAAUACAUAAGAAAUUGUAAAAAUAACCAAAUAAUCUUAAUUGCAGAAUAGAAACUCAAUGUUGUUAAGAAGUUUUUCCUCCCCAAAUGUAUCUAUAGAAUCGAUGCAAUUUCAGUAUUUCAGUCAGAAUUCCAGGAGGCUUCUUGUUUUUUUUCUUUUACAGAAAUUGGUAACCUUGUUCUAAAAUUUAUACAGAA